rnacentral:rRNA from 1 species
AAACAACUCUCAGCAACGGAUAUCGAUAGUAGUGUGAAUUGCAGAAUUCCGCGAAUCAUCGAGUCUUUGAACGCAAGUUGCGCCCGAGGCUUGUCCGAGGGCAUUUCCGCUAGAG